rnacentral:rRNA from 1 species
AGAGUUUGAUCAUGGCUCAGGACGAACGCUGGCGGCGCGCUUAACACAUGCAAGUCGAGCGAUCGACCGGCCUUCGGGCCGGCACGGAGCGGCGAACGGGUGAGUAACACGUGGGUAAUCUGCCCUCGGCUCCGGGAUAACUCCGGGAAACCGGUGCUAAUACCGGAUGGCCUCCGAAGCCCUCGGGCAUCGGAGAAAAGGUAGCUUCGGCCUCCGACCGAGGAUGAGCCCGCGGCCGAUUAGCUUGUUGGUGGGGUAAUGGCCCACCAAGGCGACGAUCGGUAGCUGGUGUGAGAGCAUGACCAGCCACACUGGGACUGAGACACGGCCCAGACUCCUACGGGAGGCAGCAGUGGGGAAUCUUGCGCAAUGGGCGAAAGCCUGACGCAGCGACGCCGCGUGCGGGAAGAAGGCCUUCGGGUUGUAAACCGCUUUCAGGAGGGACGAAGCCACUCGGGUUAAUAGCCCAGAGGGUGACGGUACCUCCAGAAGAAGCCCCGGCUAACUACGUGCCAGCAGCCGCGGUAAUACGUAGGGGGCAAGCGUUGUCCGGAUUUAUUGGGCGUAAAGAGCGUGUAGGCGGCCAGGUAGGUCUGGUGUGAAAACUCGAGGCUCAACCUCGAGAGGUCAUCGGAAACCAUCUGGCUAGAGUCCGGAAGAGGAGAGUGGAAUUCCCGGUGUAGCGGUGAAAUGCGCAGAUAUCGGGAAGAACACCUAUGGCGAAGGCAGCUCUCUGGGACGGUACUGACGCUGAGACGCGAAAGCGUGGGGAGCGAACAGGAUUAGAUACCCCGGUAGUCC